UUUAAGCGUAGCCAUGAGUUUUCGUGUCUAACUUAGAUCGCCCGUCUUAUUUGAAAAAAAAAUUAUGAUUAGUAUUUUUGUUGUUAUUAGAUGAUAAAUUAUGAAUAGUACUUAAAGCGUGACUUAUGUUUUUAAAUUUUUCAAUUUUUUUUCAAAUAAGACAUACGAUUAAAGUUGAACACGGAAAUUCAUGCAUGCGCUUAAA
rfam:Oryza meridionalis cultivar OR44 (W2112) chromosome 1, whole genome shotgun sequence.